GGGGAUUUAGCUCAGUGGUAGAGCGCUUGCCUAGGAAGCGCAAGGCCCUGGGUUGGAUCCCCAGCUCCG
rfam:Rattus norvegicus chromosome 4, whole genome shotgun sequence.